UAAUGUAAUGAAAACAAUUUUAAUGCAUUGAAUCACAUUAGAAAUAUGUAGUUAAGUGUGCUUGGGAUAAAUUAGUAUCAAUAUGGUUGACCUCUCGAAAAGUCCUAGUGUUUUACAUGCC
rnacentral:rRNA from 1 species